AGCGAACGUUAGCGGCGCGCCUAACACAUGCAAGUCGCACGAGAAAGGGAGCAAUCCCCGGUACAGUGGCGCACGGGUGAGUAACACGUAGAUGACCUUCCCUGGAGUGGUGGAUAACCUGCCGAAAGGCGGGCUAAUACAGCAUGGGACCACAUGGUUUUGACCGAGUGGUGAAAGCGGGCCUCUGUUCACAAGCUCGCGCUCUGGGAUGGGUCUGCGUCCCAUCAGCUAGUUGGUGAGGUAAUGGCUCACCAAGGCAUCGACGGGUAGCUGGUCUGAGAGGAUGACCAGCCACACUGGAACUGAGACACGGUCCAGACUCCUACGGGAGGCAGCAGUGGGGAAUCUUGCGCAAUGGGCGAAAGCCUGACGCAGCGACGCCGCGUGGGUGAUGAAGGCCUUCGGGUUGUAAAGCCCUGUGGGGAGGAACGAACCGUACGGGGGCGAACACCCUCCGUACCUGACGGUACCUCCUUAGCAAGCAUCGGCUAACUCUGUG
rnacentral:rRNA from 1 species